rnacentral:rRNA from 1 species
UACGAAGGGGGCUAGCGUUGCUCGGAAUCACUGGGCGUAAAGCGCACGUAGGCGGAUUGUUAAGUCAGGGGUGAAAUCCUGGAGCUCAACUCCAGAACUGCCUUUGAUACUGGCGAUCUCGAGUCCGGGAGAGGUGAGUGGAACUGCGAGUGUAGAGGUGAAAUUCGUAGAUAUCAGGAAGAACACCAAUGGCGAAGGCAGCUCUCUGGGACGGUACUGACACUGAGACGCGAAAGCGUGGGGAGCGAACAGG